AUGGACAAUGAAAGAAAAUUGCUGGUGCACAAGACACAAGUGGUAAACAUCAAGCUGCUUGGAGCUCCUGGAGGAGAUGCCGGGCACUUCGCAGCCUUCCGGGAACCAAAAUGUUUCACUGAAACUUCGCACUCACCUGACAGCUCGCCUGAACGUCCUCAUCACCCAGAAGGCGCGGAAGCGUGCCCUGAACUUUCACACUUCGGGGUUGGUGCAAAUUGGCCUGGAGCGCUGUUGCAGGAGCACUGGAUGUUUUCUGUUCCGUGGGACAGCCACAUGGGCUGGCUCUGCUCCCUGUUUGCAGCUGGUAUAUAUCACUGAAAGCCAUCUGAAAAAUAAUUAAACACUUUCCUGAAGUUACUUUGCCAUGAAAACAAUUAAGGUAGUUGGAGCAAAGGUACUACACAACCAUAUUCUCCAGCCUGACAAAUUUAAGAACUGGUGAGAGCACAAUCUCUGUGCUAGGAUUUGACCAAGUCAUGAAUUUCUUCACGCCAGCAUGUCCUUGAGAAUUGUAUUAUGAAGCGAGAGGAGUGAGGGAGGAAAGAAUUCUGCAGAAGUUCAGUCUCGGUUUCUCCUGGGCUGGUGAAUUUGCCAGAGCAGGAAGGAAGAUCAGCUCCUGAAAUGAUAAGUGGUCUGCAGAGAAUACCACCCAGAUGAUGACUUCAAUUUUGCAUAUUUUAAUUGCUAGCUCUUCUUCCGAGGAGACAAAUUUUCCUGGCCUGUUGAUAUUGUCUGGUGUUAGUGAUGUGCAAUCCAUGUGAUAAUGACUUUACUACACAGUCAACAUUUUUCAAUUUUUUUUUUUUUUAUUAGAAUAUUUCCUGUUUGAAAAUUUUCAAUUUCCAGUACCAUAAAAUAUUAUUCUUCCUAAGAAGAGUUCCUCGAAAUACUGUUCCUCAUUUGAGGAGUUUCUUUGUUUGUGCUAGCAGUUAUGCUUUAUAGACACUUUGCUUCAGUGGGUCAAUUUAAAACAUAAACACGGGGUCAUGAUCACAGGCUGACACGAUAUGCUACAGCAGAAAAAUUACUGAAGAGGAAGAAAAGAAAAAUAAGUUUAAAACACUCAGGAAAAAUAUAUAUAUGAGUGUGCAUGCUGAGAAGAUGAAGAAGACUAGAGCAAAGAUAAGAGUAUUAAACAAUGAUAAAAGGAAACAUUAUCUAGUAGCUAAGCUAUGAGUUUGUAAGUCAGAAGCCUCAUGCUUUUUGAGCUGUUUUCUCACAAGCCCAGGCUAUGGAACUUCAGACAAAGUCUCUUAAAACUUUGCCUGAAGAGCUAUCACUUUUGCCAAGGGACCCGUACCAAAACAUGCAUUUAUAAGAUGAUAGACGAUAACAGUGUUGACUCACAUUUGUUUCUUGUACUUUUAAAACAUGCUUGAAACACAGCUGGGGGCUUACCAUCGUAGCAAAAUGCAAUUGUUUUGUAAUGGUGUUACAAUAGAAAUAGGUCAGAGCUGAGUCAUUUGGCACUGGAUCAUGUAAAGGCUAGACAUGUCACUAAUUUCACCCAUUUAAAAUGUCAGUUCUGAGGCACUACAGAAAAACAAGGUUAUGCCACAGUACCAAAGGAAGAUAAAAGGGGAAUGAAAUAGACCCAGUGCUGUAUUACACAUUUAAUUUAUCAUGUGGUUUUAAAAUGCUAGAAAAUGAAAGAAUUAUGUUUUAGUCUUUAUUUAUUUAUUUAUUUAUUUGGGUGGGGGGUUAAGACAUAAAUUGGUUUCAAAGUUAGGUCAAGUGUCUAAGCAACCCAGAAAAAAUUCUUCAAUAACUGAUUUUUAGAUAACAUUUAUUUCUUUCUGUUGUGAAAUCCUAAAGCAAGUACACUUAGCUCUCUGACCAACUAAUAUUUUGGUUAAUUAGAUCAUCUGUAAACCAUAAAACUUCAGCUUUCUGAGGUGAAAAAGAUGAUCUGUCGUUGGUUCUUUUGUAACUUUGUCCAUUUUACCAGCAGUUAGGUCACUGCUCAUUGCUUGUUAUAAAUCAUCCUCAGCAAAGUGAUUAAAAUACUAAUAUUAAA
ensembl:lncRNA